ACAGGUGCUGCAUGGCUGUCGUCAGCUCGUGCCGUGAGAUGUUCGGUUAAGUCCGCUAACGAGCGCAACCCUCACUGUGUGUUAUAUGUGUCACACGGGACUGCCGGUUUUAAGCCGGAGGAAGGUGGGAUGACGUCAAGUCAGCAUGGCCUUUAUAUCCUGGGCUACACACACGCUACAAUGGUCGGUACAAUAGGUUGCCAAGCCGCGAGGCGGAGCCAAUCCACAAAGCCGGCCUCAGUUCAGAUUGUAGGCUGCAACUCGCCUGCAUGAAGAUGGAGUUGCUAGUAACCGCAGGUCAGCAAUACUGCGGUGAAUACGUUCCCGGGUCUU
rnacentral:rRNA from 1 species